CUAUACAUGACUCUGCGCAUAUCAAUAAGCGGAGGAAAAGAAACUAACAAGGAUUCCCUUAGUAACGGCGAGUGAAGCGGGAAGAGCUCAAAUUUGAAAUCUUCAAGGGUUUCCCUUUACGAAUUGUAGUUUAAAAAAGUGUUUUCUGUUGAGGUUUUGGUAAAAGUUCUUUGGAAUAGGACAUCAUAGAGGGUGAGAAUCCCGUAUUUGACCUUUACUUUCAACUUUGUGAUACACUUUCAAAGAGUCGGAUUGUUUGGGAAUGCAGUCCAAAAUGGGUGGUAAAUUUCAUCUAAAGCUAAAUAUUGGCGAGAGACCGAUAGCGAACAAGUACCGUGAGGGAAAGAUGAAAAGAACUUUGAAAAGAGAGUUAAACAGUACGUGAAAUUGUCAAAAGGGAAGCGUUUGACACCAGUGUUGUUUUUCUGAAAAUCAAUUAAAGAACUGUUUAUGCUAAGUUGUUUAGACUUUAUCAGCUAACUGUUUAGUUUUGAGCUUUUCUUUAAUGCACUUUUCAGUUAACAAGUCAACAUCAAUUUCUUUUGCUGUAAAAAAGCUUGAGGAAGGUGGCUUGAGAUUCGUCUUAAGUGUUUAUAGCCUCUUGCCUAUGCAGUUGGAGAGAUUGAGGUCUGCAGCGUAGAUCCUUCGGGGCUAAAUGCAUUUGUGCUAAGUUAUAGCAUUUUAUAGACAACUUGUUGACUAUGAUUUGUCUUGUAGCUUACUCGCUUAUGUUAUUUUACCUACGCUUAGGAUGUUGACAGCAGUAUAGACGU
rnacentral:rRNA from 1 species